UGUCGAUAAAGCCAAACCCCGGGUGACCGGGGGACGGAAAACCACGGGUCUCCAUGAGAUCGCCGGGUUGCCGAA
rnacentral:ncRNA from 1 species